rnacentral:rRNA from 2 species
AAAGAAACCAACCGGGAUUGCCUCAGUAACGGCGAGUGAAGCGGCAAGAGCUCAAAUUUGAAAUCUGGCCCCUCCGGGGUCCGAGUUGUAAUUUGCAGAGGAUGCUUCGGGUGUGGCCCCUGUCUAAGUGCCCUGGAACGGGCCGUCAGAGAGGGUGAGAAUCCCGUCUUGGGCAGGGUGCCCAUGCCCGUGUGAAGCUCCUUCGACGAGUCGAGUUGUUUGGGAAUGCAGCUCUAAAUGGGUGGUAAAUUUCAUCUAAAGCUAAAUACCGGCCGGAGACCGAUAGCGCACAAGUAGAGUGAUCGAAAGAUGAAAAGCACUUUGAAAAGAGAGUUAAACAGCACGUGAAAUUGUUGAAAGGGAAGCGCUUGCGACCAGACUCGGCCUCGGGGUUCAGCCAGCACUCGUGCUGGUGUACUUCCCCGGGGGCGGGCCAGCGUCGGUUUGGGCGGCCGGUCAAAGGCCCCAGGAAUGUAUCACCCUCCGGGGUUGUCUUAUAGCCUGGGGUGCAAUGCGGCCAGCCUGGACCGAGGAACGCGCUUCGGCACGGACGCUGGCAUAAUGGUUGCAAACGAC